UUUAACCUCCCCAAUAUAUCUUCAAACUCCACUUCUCCCUACCACGUUCGUCCCCUUUCACAUAUAACCUUCAGCACGCCUCCGAGUUCAACUGUCCACCUCAAUAAGCCCUAAACAUCAGGUAGGUGUAGUAACUAUUGUGCAUAUAUAAGAGGUUGCUUUUUUGAAUAUAUGCGUUAUUCCAUCGCUUGAAAUUUGUCUAACGGUUGAUACAUCAUGGACCAGAAAUUGGCUGAUAAGGAUUUUCUGUUUGAAGAAAUGGCACCCAAGGUAAAAUUUAUUGAAAAGAUGUUUGGAUUUUGAUUCCUGUCUUUGAAAAUUUAUAAUUUUUUACUGCUUAAUUGUAGCUAUCUCAACUCAAAAUUGGUUAAAUCGUUGGUUUUAUUAUAUUGUUCAAUAUAACUAUCGUUUGCUUUUGGAAAUUUGCUAUGUUUUUUUAUAUAUGAUUAUAAUUUAUAAUCACUUACACAAUGAAGAACACUGUAUCCGUUCAUGAAAAUGCCAACCUUCAAACAAUAUCAGCUAAAUCCAUUGAUUUUGAAAGUAACUCUACUGAGAUAAUUGAGUAUUCUCCUCACUUCGGUCCUUUUAAAUCGAUUUUGGAAAGGGUUAUUUCGGAAGGGGUAGAAAUUCAUCGUCUUUUCAUCAAUUGUUAAUAGUUUAUGAUGUUUUAGUUUUGUUUUAGGUUUCUACAAUUGCUAAAGAAGAUCAACAACUCGAAAGGAAAAGAAAAAGAGUUUUAGCUCUAACAUAGUGGAAGUAGGAUGAAGUUGUGGACCUCUGCUCAGAUGAUGAUGAGAAAGAGGAUGUCCCCACCAUACAAGCAAAAAAGAAAGUCAGGGUUUGCAUUUACAAUCGAAAUCGACCCAUGAAACUCCUUGACAAGUCGGAUGUGGAGGAUUGAUGUUUCUAUAAGUUGGUUUUAAUAUGUUUUUCUUAUUUUCAAUAUUAUGUUUAGUUGUUGUUAUCAAUCUAUGUUUCAAACCUCUU
rnacentral:lncRNA from 1 species